rnacentral:rRNA from 1 species
CCAAUAGCGUAUAUUAAAGUUGUUGCAGUUAAAAAGCUCGUAGUUGAAUUUCGGGGUUAGUAGGUUGGUCAUGCCUCCGGUAUGUACUGAUCUCACUGAUUCCUCCUUCCUUAUGAACCGUAAUGCCAUUAAUUUGGUGUUGCGGGGAAUUUGGACUGUUACUUUGAAAAAAUUAGAGUGUUUAAAGCAAGCUAACGCUUGAAUACAUUAGCAUGGAAUAAUGAAAUAGGACGUUCGAUCUUAUUUUGUUGGUUUCUAGGAUUGACGUAAUGAUUAAUAGGGAUAGUUGGGGGCAUUAGUAUUCAAUUGUCAGAGGUGAAAUUCUUGGAUUUAUUGAAGACUAACUACUGCGAAAGCAUUUGCCAAGGAUGUUUUCAUUAAUCAAGAACGAAAGUUAGGGGAUCGAAGACGAUCAGAUACCGUCGUAGUCUUAACCAUAAACUAUGCCGACUAGGGAUCGGAUGAUGUUAAUUUUUUAAUGACUCAUUCGGCGCCUUACG